GACGUAGGGUGCGAGCGUUGUCCGGAUUUACUGGGCGUAAAGAGCGCGUAGGCGGCGCGUUAAGUGAGGAGUGAAAGCUUCGGGCUCAACCCGGAAAGGCCUCCUCAUACUGGCGUGCUUGAGGGUCGCAGAGGCUCAUGGAAUUCCCGGUGUAGCGGUGAAAUGCGUUGAUAUCGGGAGGAACACCCAUGGCGAAGGCAGUGAGCUGGGCGACACCUGACGCUGAGGUGCGAAAGCGUGGGUAGCAAACAGG
rnacentral:rRNA from 1 species